rnacentral:rRNA from 1 species
UACAGAGACUGCAAGCGUUAUUCGGAUUCACUGGGCGUAAAGGGCUCGUAGGCGGCCAACUAAGUCAGACGUGAAAUCCCUCGGCUUAACCGGGGAACUGCGUCUGAUACUGGAUGGCUUGAGUUUGGGAGAGGGAUGCGGAAUUCCAGGUGUAGCGGUGAAAUGCGUAGAUAUCUGGAGGAACACCGGUGGCGAAGGCGGCAUCCUGGACCAACACUGACGCUGAGUGAGCGAAAGCCAGGGGAGCAAACGGG